rnacentral:rRNA from 1 species
UGGGGAAUCUUGCUGCAAUGGGCGAAAGCUUGAACACAGCAACCACCGCGUGGGUGAUGAAGGCCUUCGGGUCGUAAAGCCCUGUCGGAGGGAACGAAUCUUCCCUGGGUAAAUAAUCCAAGGAAUUGACGGUACCCUCAGAGGAAGCACCGGCUAACUCUGUG